rnacentral:lncRNA from 1 species
GGGGAUCGAGGUUCGAUGCGACAUUACAGCACGACUGCAGUCGCGUGGAGGCAUACCGACGAUUCUGCGGUGCGCGAAGCAUGACCAUACAGUCGCUCAUCAAACGCGUGUGCGAUUUGGAUCGUCGAGUGGAUGAUGAGGAUGGGAGCCUGUACCUUCGUGCUGUCCUCGUCUGCGCGAUCUAUUCGAGGGACAGGUAAUCAGUUAUUUAAGAUUAUCCUCCACACCGUUACUGGUUUUACUUAUGUUCUAAUAUAUUAUCUUUGUCGCUUUCUAGGGUGGGUGUCAUGCCCCUGGACCCGAUGUGACGAUCUGUCGAGUCACUACUUCAUAUCAGCGCUGACACCGGGCGAACUCUCGGUGAGCUUCAGGCCCCCCGACAACCCAUUAGCUCGGGGUGUCCAAUUUCCACAGGGCACCGGAGCCCGUGUUGUGGAGGAGCGCGGGGACGAGGAGGAUGUACCUAGAUAGCCUCGUACGACUCGCAGUCACAGUGUCCGGGGCCCUGUGAGGGAUGCUCGACAGCACGAGCCGGCUCGUCAUUCAGUAGAUCCGGGCUCGCGCCCUGUGAGGGAUGCUCGACCCCACGAGCCGGCUCGUCAUUCAGUAGAUCCGGGCAAGCGCCCAGCGCCGCAUACUUCUUCAUCGUCGAGCGGAUCUCGGACUGUAUCCAGUCCCAGCGAGGGUGAGGUGGAUCGUAAGUGGGUGAAGAAGACGAUCCGUCAGGAGAUUAAGAAGGCCUUCGGCAAAUUCGUGGAGAAACUGAAGAGCAAGGGUAAAAAGGAUAGGUGCAAGAAGAGCAAACAUUUCCGAGUGCCCGACUCCCCUGAUGAUGAUGACCAGCGACGGUCCCCUGAUCCUCCACAGCCACGGUCUCCUCCACAGCGACGGUCUCCUCCACCCAGUGCUUCAGGGCCCGACGCUUCAGGGCCAAGCGUUUCACGUUCCUGCGACGACGACCCCCGCGGUGAGGAACCACGCCAUCCAGAGACCCAGGCCUACCCAUCACGCCCUUCAGAUUAUGCCCAUUCCCGCCCAGCAGAGACCCAGGAUUACAACGAGCAGUGGCGGGCCAUGAAUCAGUCUGUUCAGGGCGACUACACACCGGCAGAGCAGACUUUUGACUGGUCGACCCAGGUCUACCCUCAUUGGUCUUCCCCAUUCCUGAAGCCGCAGUAUAGAACAGAGACCCCGAUAUUCUUUGCUGAACCGCUCACUUCUAUUGCACCACAUGAGUGGGGACAGUCCAGUUCGGCAGGACAGGCUCAGACGGAGGAGCCUGAGCCACAGGCAGAGCAGCCACAGGUACUGCUGCUGCAGCACCUAGAGCAGCCGCCGGCAGAGCAGCCGCCAGCAGAGCAGCCGCCAGCAGAGCCCCCGCGUCGCAGUCAGAGGGUGAGGCGUCCGUCUAACUAUCAGCGAUCGCCUUGGGUUAAUAGCCAAAUGCCACGUCCAGUGACACAAGUCUGCAGUGACCAUUAUGAGAAGUGGAUGGCUAGGUGUCGAGAGGGUAGGGGUCGUGAGAUUUGUUGCGCCGGUGAAUCUCCGGCUGAUAGGUCUAAAUAAGCAUAUCUUUGGAUUGCUUCCAAUCCGUCCCCACCUUCGAAUGUUGCACUGGAUUCACCUCCAUACCCGGAAGAUUGAGGGAGAUCGAACGAAGGAACAUACACUCCUCCACUGUAAUCGUCUUCAACAACAUAAAUCUCAAGAAAAUGUGGCUGCGACGCCAGCAACUGAAGCAAAUCAUUGUCAUCGGCAAGAAUAUUUUUACUGUAUACCCUGCCAUUUAAUCUCUUCGUCAAAUAAUACAAGCUGUAAUUAGUGCUCAAUGAAUUCUCCAUCAUCAGGUAAUUUAUCAUGUACACCGUACUGGCCAUUGUGUCUCCGAAAAUAUGCAAAUUCUUAGAAGAGUCGCCGAUGUACUCAUAACCAUUGAAGGCACCUCCAUAAUUAACCACAAAGUAUCUCCCAUAUUCAUUCAUCUACAGAAAAAAUAAUAAAUAAAUAAAUAUAUGAUGUAAAUGUAAUACAAUGUUAAAAUACAACAUAUAACAUGUUAAUACACUCGAAAAACAUCUAUCCGCCCGGGGAAGUAUCCGAAGAAAUGUGUCCGGCCGUGUAUUACAUGAUAUAUAAUUACACACGGCCGGACACAUUUUCGAGGACACUUGUCCGGGCGGAUACAUAAUUUUCGAGCAUAAUAACAUGAGUUAUGUAGCAAUAUAUAUGUAUAGAACUAAAAUGCAACUAAUAAAUUUACUAAUUUAAUACUUUAAAACAUGAUAGAAUUUGCUCUAAUUCACAUGUAUUUCCUUCAAACGUGGCUUUAAAUCAUAGUAUGCUAUAAUAUGCUAAUAAUUCACAUAAGCAUAUAGGAUCAAACAAAACAUUGAAAAUAAACAAUAACCAACUUAAAUUACAUUUCAACGUAAAAUGACAUACCUUUAAACGUUCGGAUGAGAGAAUUCACAAAUAAUAGCUUCACCACUUGGAAAAUAUUAGAAUUUCUAAUGAGUUUGAGUGUUUUUUCACUUUGAGUGUUCGGAUGAGAGGAUGAGAGAAUGAGAGAAUUCACUCAUAUAUAAACAAAGAUUCCUUCAUUUCACGUGAAUUUCAAUGAAAUUAGAGUGUUUGACAUGAAUACUUUACUGACAAAGCUAUUUCACAUCAUAUUUGUCGUUUAUCAUCAAUUUAAAAAAAAAUUAUGUCCCUUAAUUGAAGGCUAAUUAAUCGAUGGAAUAUAAAUACAAAAAAUUAACACAAUCCAUAUUAGCACUCAAAACACACAUAGGAACCAAAAAAACAUCUAUCCGACCGGAACAUAUAUGUGUCCGCCCGGUGAAACCUUGUGUCCGGUCGGACACUUGUUUUUCCCGGUCGGACGCGUUUUUGUUUUUUUUCCAAUGUGUGUUUUGAGUGCUAAUAUCGAUUGUGUUAAUUUUUAGUAUUUAUUUUCCAUUGAUUAAUUAGCCUACGAUUUACUUGUAAAACCUUCGAUUUUAAUUCAAAAAUAAAUAAAUAUUAUUUUCUCUGUCAGUAUUUCACAUGUUCCAACACAUAUUUGACCGAUUUCAAUGUUUAAAUUGUUGAAUUGAUGUUUUUCUUACACUUUAACAACUUUUGUCAUAGAUGUGUAAGUACUUUUGCGGAAAACAAUGCACAUCCAUCACAUUCAAAGGGCAUUUUCGGUUCUUCACUUAUUUAGGGCAUGUAGUGCUUUGCAUGAUAAGGGUGGGCAUUUUUCAAAUUAUUCAUAAGAGAAAGGGCACUUUAAAUUUUGCCUCUAAUAAUUUCCACUUUAAUUCAAUUAAUUAAUUCAACUAAAAAAAUAUUAUUAUUUGGUUUGAUAUAUUAUAGAGGGAAAUCUUAUUAUAGCCCCAUUUUAAAAUAACAUAAGUUUUAUAGCCCCAGUUUCCAAUACAUAAGUUAUAUAGCCAUUUUAGGCUUAAAAAUCUAUAACGUCUUUUGUCUUUUAAGCCUAAAAUAGUUAUAUAACUUAUGUAUUAUAAAUUAGGGCUAUAAAACUUACAUUCUUAUGAAAAAUGGCUAUAUGUAAUAAUUUCCACUAUAUUAAAUUAUUGACAAUUUAAGUUAUUUACGUUGUGUUUUUUUUAGUGAUAAGAAAUUAAAUAAAAAUAUUAAUUUACCAACUAAUUGUCACGCAAGAAUAAAUACGCCACGUCAAAAUUGGCACAGUACCAUAUUAUAUAUUAGCUUGGUAUUUGGCCGGAAUUUAGAUUAGUAGCAAAAUCAGAUAAAAUCAAAAGUUUAGUAAUCAUCACGCUACAAUUCAAAGUUUGUGUGCAAAAUCAGAAUUGGAUGAAAGUUCAGUAUUUUAUGGACAAUUAACCCUUUAUUAUUCCUUUUAUUAUUUAAAGAUGAUCAAUAAUAGUUCAUCAUUUGCUCUCCUAGGUGACUCGAACUCCCAUCUAUUGAUUGAAAUUAAGGCGUCAUAUCAAUUGAAUUCCACUUCAUUGUCAACUUGUUCACUUAUUUACCCAUAAUCAAUUUAACAUUAAUAUUGUUAGAGCGGCCACAUUAUCACUCAAAAUUUGGUGUGAUAAUAUUAUCCCUCAUGGCAAGCUUCCCAGUUGACCUGUUCCCUAGCUUCCCAAUAUCCACCAAUGUCUCCGAUCCUUUGUCUUUCACGAACCAAUGUGGCUUCCACCCUUUCUCUUGCAUCGACCUGGCCUGUUUCCAAUCAAAUCCACCACAUACUUUAAUGGCUUGAAUAAUUUGAGCUUACUAAUCUCAUGUAUUGCCAAUUUAAACACCCCCUCGUAUCUCGUGUAAGAUGUAUUUGGAGAAUGCGUUCAUGAAUUUAAACGAUAGCAGAGAAUAUAGGCAGGGACGGAUCCAGAAUUUUUUUGUCAUGGGGGCAUAAAAUAACUAUAUAUAAAAUUUGUUAAAAAAAACUACAUUCUUUGAAAAAAAAAUUACUACAUAAUAAUUCAAGUUUAUUAUAAUUGAAACCUACAACAAUAAAAAUUUAUUAUAUAAAAUAUAAUAUAAUUUAUAAUUACAGAAUUCAUAAUUAAUAUAUUAAAAUUUAUAUAAUAUAAUUAAUAAAAAUUUAUACAAAAAUAAUAAAGACAUUAAAAAUUUUAUAAUCACAGAAUUAUAAGAUUACAGAGUUUUAUAAAAAUUUAUAUUAUAAUUAAUGAAAAUAUGUACUCCCUCCGUCCCAAUAUUCAAGUCCCCUUUCCUUUUUUGGCAUUAAUUAGCAUACAAUUAAUACAUUUAAUUAUGUCUCUCUCUCCUCUCACAAACCAACCCACCUGCCUCUCUCUCUCUCCUCACUUCUCUCUUCUCUCUCAAAUCGUCAUCUCCCCCCUCUCUCAUCUUCUUCUUUCACCGCCUCGCCGCCUCCACCUUCCACCGCCUCGCCGCCUCCACCGCCUCUCAGCAAGGAAUAAGGGCGGCGACUCGCCGGCGAACAGCAGCGGCGGUUCGCGGAGAGAGGUGUUGUUGUGUUGGCUUGUUGUGUUGGCUUGUGCAGUUGGUGUUGAUGUGUGAGCGUCAGUCGGGGGAGAGAGGUGAAUCGAAGCUUGAGGGGCGGAGGAGCGUGAAAUGAAUUUUUGAGGAGCGUGAAUCGAAGCUUCGGGAGAGAGGUGAAUCGAAGCUUGAGGAGCGUCAGUGCGGACGCCGGAAAUCGAAGCUUGAGGGGCAGAUUUAGAGAUCUAGAGUUUCAGUGUGAUUUAGAGAGAUGAAGGUUAGGAGAAAGGGGGAGGCGAUUGGCGGCUUUGCUAACCGUUGCGGCUGUCGGAAAUCGAAGCUUGUUGUGUUGGCCUUGCUAACCGCUGCGGCUGCCGGAUUUCAGAGGGAGGCUGGCGGCUGAGUUGCCGGAGGAGGCGGCUCUCUCCUUAGCGAUUUAGCGAUUGAGUGUUUUGUGUGGGUGUUAAUUAAGAAAUAAAAUAAUACUAAUUAAAACACUAAUUAUGUGGUCCCUACUGUUUUUACAUCUAUUUUAACUCUCCUAAAUACCCGUGCCCAAAAGAAAGGGGACUUCAUUAUUGGGACGGAGGGAGUAUUAUAAUUACAGAAUUUUGAGAUUGACAAUAAUAAAAUAUAAUAAAAUUUAUAUAAUUAUACAUAUAUAAUUAAUAUAUAUAGAAAAUGUUGUUUUCCGUAAAAAGGUUUUAACGAGGCUCGGCCCUUAGUCUGCUUUCUUGUGCUCUCAAGGUUCAUUAGGUUUUUUCUUUUUCUUUCUUUAUAAAAUUGCAUUUUAAUAAUAUAGAAAAUGUUGUGGGGGCACGUGCCCCCGUACUGGGAGCCGUGGAUCCGUCUCUGAAUAUAGGCAACAAUCAAAAUCAAGGUCGAGACAAUUUGGAUCAAGACUGUGAAACACUCAGAAGGGACAUUAUGUUUACUUGCAUAGGCACUUGUUACUGAACUAAAAUGUUUGAGCACAAGUAUUAUGAGGUAUAACAGGUAAUGUCUGCAAUAUUCGUGAAAAACUUUCAAGUUCGAGAGUAAGCCCAGAAGUCACGAGAUCAACUAGUUACUCCCCAUUUUCCAAGCACCUCUGAUCAGGCCUCAAUCUUGAAUCUGUUGUCUCCUGCAAAAAGGUGUUGAAUCCAAUGUCACGAAACUUAAAACGACACAUUCCCAAUAUGUGUACCACAGCAUAUGGAUUGCACACUUUGAACACCAAGGCAGCAUCCGAAUCUAAUGGGUCAAAUUAUGUACUCAUAGAAGCAUUAUUGACUUCUUCCUAUGGGAUCAAGUUUGUGAGACGGUCUAACAAGAGACCUAUCUUCAAAUAUUAAUACAACCAAACACAACUAUUUCACAGCAAAAUAUUUUUUUUGACUGCAACAUGCUGCAAAAUAUAAUUGGCAAACUGGCUUAGAAAGGUAACAAAGGGAAAUUAAUAAGAUCACCAUUAAUCCUGGAGUAAGCUCAUUCAUUGUGAUGGCAAAGCGAGUCAAGUUAUAACGUGUUCCAUAGUAAUCGAGCUUCAGAUAGAGAUUCAUGACCUUUUCCUUUGGAGCAAUCUCCAUCAACAUAGUGCAUGCUCUCAUCCCAUUUCCCAAACAAAGUUGCCACAGUCUUUCCACUCUUGUCUUGGACAACUUCCUGCACCUGCAUUCUCAAAGUUGCUUUUAUGGAGAAAUCCUGAAGAAUAAUACUCCAGAAGCAUCUAUCUAUUAUUUAAUAGAUUACAUAUUCAAGGACUCCCCUUAAUUCAAGAUCCUAUGUGGCACAUCCUCUAUUCUCUAUUCUAAUUUAUCUUAAAUCCUCAUUUAAUCAUUCUAAUCUAUACAUUCUAUCAUCCCACAUUGAAUUUAUAGUAGUCAAUGACUACUAGAGAACACAUAUAAAAGGAUUAGAUAUAAUGUGUAUUUCUCCAUCCCUCAAUUAUUUUGCACAUUUAAUUAAAUUUGAUUUAUUAAUUAGUUGGCCAAAUAAAUAGUUUUAUUUUUAUUGAAAAUUUUGUUUUUAUCAAUUAUUAAAACGUCAAUGCUAAUUGGCUAAGUAAUUGAUUUUUUUUAAUUAGAAAAUAUUUAAGUUCACAAAAUUAUAAGUUGACGUAAUUUGAAGAAUCGUAGAAUUGCAUUUCUCCAUAUGUUAAAUAUUUGAGCAAAUAAUUAGAAAAUAUUUGCUAGAUUUUUAUAAUUUUUGAAACAUAAAUUUUUAAACUGAUGUAUCCCCUUAGAAAAAAUUGUCAUGAUUAUGUGAUUUUCUCUAUUUUUUAAUUUUAUUCAUCUCAAGUCCUCAUUUUAAUUAUUUUUUAUCCAAUCCCACAUCAAAUUUAUAGUAGUGUAUGCCUACUAGAGAACAUAUAUAAAAUGAUUAGAUACAAUGUGUAUUUUUCCAUAUUUCAAGUAUUUGCACCUCCAAAUAAACAUAUAGUAGUGUAUGCCUACUAGAGAACAUAUAUAAAAUGACUUGAAGAAAUAUAGAAUUGCAUUUCUUCGUAUGCUAAAUAUUUGAGCAAAUAAUUAGAAGAAAAUAUUUGAAAAAUUAUUAGAAUUAUGAAACAUAAACUUUUAAACUGAUAGUAUAAGAUAAAAUCAAUAUACUUCUCUUAGAAAAAAUUAACAUGUAUGAUUAUACGAUUUUCUCUAUUCCUUAUUUUUAAUCAUUUUUAUCCAUAUCUUCUCCAAUACCACAUCAAAUUUAUAGUAGUCUAUCAUUACUAGAGAACAUAUAUAAAAGGAGUAGAUAUAAUAUGUAUUUUCCCAUCCCUGAAUUAUUUUGCACCUCAAAUUAAAUUUGGUCAGUUAAUUAGUUGGUCAAAUAAAUAAUUUUAUUUUUAUUGAAAAUAUUAUUUUGAUCUAUUAUUAAGAUGUCUAGCUAAGUAAAUGAUUUAAUUUUAACUAGCAUUUACACCCCGUGCAAUGAACGGAAAAAUAUUUUAAAUUUUUUUAUUUAUAUUAAAGUAAUACUAAUUUAAUUAUCAUACUUAUAAAUAUAUAUAUAUAUUUAUAUUUUAACUGAAUAUAUUUGAGCAAAUAAAUAGAAGAAAAUAUUUUCCGGAUUUUAGAAAUUGUCAUGGAUGAUUAUACGAUUUUCUCUAUUCUCUAUUUUUAUUUUUCUUAUGUCCUUAUUUUAAUCAUUUUUAUCCAUAUAUUCUUCAAUCCUAUAUCUAAUUUAUAGUAGUCUAUGACUACUAGAGAAUAUAUAUAUAAAAGGAUUAGAUAUAACGGUAAAUAUUACUUUAAACCCCAAAUUAUGUUCACACAAUUAAUUAUAUCUUGAACUAUUGAAAAAUAUUUUUUAAGACUUAAACUAUCGAUUUUGUAUUAAUUGUACCCUUCAUCCAUUUUUCACUCCUUAAAUUUUCAAUUAAUAAAGCAUAUAAUGAUGUUGUUUUAUGGAGUAUAAAGCAUGUUAAAAAAGGAUUGAUUUUGAAUAAUCAUAACAUCCGGCGAGCCACGUCAAAUUUUCAGAGCCAAAAAAAUAGACGAGUGGUGCAAUUGAUACAAAAUUAAUAAUUCAAGGUUUGUAAAAAAAAUCUAUAAUUAAGGAUAUAAUUGAUAGUGUAAAAAUAAUUUGAGGUUUAAAGUAAUACUAGCAUUUGCACACCGUGCAAUGCACGGGAAACUUUAAACUUUUAUAUUUAUAUAAAACUGAUAUCAACUCAAUUAUCAUAUCUAUAAAUAUAAUUUAAAAAUAGUUUUAACUUAAUAUAUUAAUUUGAAAUGUAUAUUGAAAAAAUAAAAAAAUUACAAUAAUAAAAAUUGAUGUAAUGAAAAGAAAAAAAUUACAAUAUACUCCCUCCGUCCCAUGAAGCAAGAUCAAGUUUCCUUUUUGGUCUGUCCCACGAAGCAAGACCAGUUUCUAAAAGUAGCAAAAAAUUUACUCUUUAUUCACCUUUUCACUUUUUCAUCUACCACACUUAACACACAAAAUACCAAUUUCGAACUUGGUCUUGCUUCAUGGAACGGAGGGAGUAUAUUGCAUACUGCAUUCAAUCCAGAAGUUUUUAAAGAUAGAGAUAUUUUGGAGUAACUAACGAGAUGAUUAUUCGUGUAAAUUUUGCCGGCAUCAUUAACCAAUUAUUGAUUUAUAUUUUGUUUAUUUAUAUACAUAUUUUAUAAAUUUAAAUAACUUCAAGAAAUUAAUUGGUAUUACACACACACAUAGAUAUAUAUAUAUAUAUAUAUAUGUAUAUGUAUAUAUAUGGGUUUGGGACGAUAAUAAUAUUAAUAUCAUCACAUAUAUAAUUAGAAAAUGGAAUACUCCUAUGUAGCAUCACCAUAGUUAUGCAUUUUUAUCUAUCCUAUUUCUCAAAAAAAAAAAAAAACAUAUUUAUUAAUUCUUAUUUAUCUAAAUCUUCUCAUCCCACAUUGAUUUUUUUUAUGAAAAUUUACCAAUUGAAAUACUAAAUAAAUUGAUACUAUAAUUUGAAUCUCGUAUCAAUUUGUUAAGUCUUAGACGAGAUGAUUCUCAAAACUUAGUUAUGGUCUUUCAAACUUCAAAUAAGAUGAUGCUUACCCAGUUUUAUUCUUUCAAACUCCAAACGAAAUGAUGGUUGAAAUUCAGUUAUUCUAUUUUAAGCUCCAAAUGAGAUGAUGCACAUAACUAUAUAUGUUAUGGUUUUUGAAGCUCCAUACAAGAUGAUGUUUAGAAGUUAGUUAUGGUAUUUUAAACUCCAAAUGAGAUGAUGCACAUAAUCAUGUUAUGGUUUUUCAAGCUCCAUACAAGAUGAUAUUUAAAAGUUAGUUAUGAUCUUAUAAGCUUCAGAUUGUAUAAUCUCACAAAUCAGCCCUGAUCUUUCAAGCUCCUAAUGAAAAUAAUGUUUAGAAGUAAGUUAUGAUAUUUAAAGUAUCAAAUAAUGAUGUUCAAACGAUUGACGCAUAAAAGCCAGAUAUAUUGUUUCAGGGUCCAGACGAGAUAAUCCUAAAAAAUUUGGCGUUCAAAAGUUAAAUAUUGUCUUUCGAGUUCUUGAUGAUCCUCUGGUCUUAUAGAGUUGAGAUGGGAUGAUGCUUAUAUGACAUAUGAGAUCUUAAAUUAAUUUUUACCUGUCAAUAUAAAAAAAUUGUACAAAAUUUAUAUAAAAGAGUAUUUUUAUUAUUCUAGCAAAAAAUGAACAUUUAAUUGACGAAUAUAGUUGAAAUUAAUAUAACAUAAACUCUAUUAAAAAUAAUAUAAAUAAUUUAAAUCAAAAUUUAAAGUCCCGUCGAAUUUCGACGGGUUAUACACUAGUAGUUACAUGAAAGCAUCAACUUGUCAAGAUAUAAGAUAAGUUAUCAGGAGAAUCUUCAUCUAGCACCAAAUAUUGUUGCAGAAAUAUGCUGAGACGCUAUUCAGUUUGCAGGGUUUAGUUAUUUUACAAUUGUACACGCACCAACAAAAUUAAGAUAACUCAGUUUCAUCAACAUAUAUAAGCCUGAUUCGAAAUGUGUACAAGCCUUUGAUUCCAUGAAACAUAAUGGUCCAUUUCCAUUUAUACGACAUUAUUUAAGAUGGUUUAUACCAGAAUAAAUGUUGACAUUUUCAUUUUCAUUAGCAUGGUAAAUAGAACCAUGUUUUGCAUUUUAGUGAUUCAUGGAUUAAAAAGAAAUUAAACCAAAAUUUAUAUCAUCAAACAUUUCCAUCUUGUUUAUAUUAACUUUUUCAUUUCGCAGGACACUUUUUCUUUCUUAUUGUAAAAGAGAAAAGACAUAAAACAUAAUUUCACAUGCCUCAAGAAAAAGAGAAAAAAACCAAAGUUACCUACUUUAGAUAGGUAUAAAAGAUAUUAAUGGUAUGAGAGAGCACCUGAUGAGGAUUCCGGUCUAUGAUGGACUGCUCCUUGAAUAAUUAAAUGUGGUAAUGUGGUGUGGUCCACCAAAAAGUAUGAGUACUCUUUUUAUGAAAAGACUAAAUAGUACUCUCUUAUUAUUACUUAAUAAAGCCUUAAACAUUUCCAUAUUAAGACUGAGCCAAUUGGAGUGGGACAACCUAAAAUGGAAAAUGAGGCUAUUGGAGUGGGACGAAUGUAGUAAUAUUAUUAUUAAUAAUUUUAAUUUUUUUAGUUUAUUAAUCACUAAUUUGGAUAGUUCUAAUUAUUGUUAUUUUCAUCAUUAUAUGAUACUAAUUAUUGUUAUUUUCAAGUUUAUAUAAUAUUUAUGUUGUUAUUUUCGUGUCAGAAGUUGAAGAUAUGAAAUUAUUUUAUUUUUUUAUUUUUCUUUUGUUAGAGAAUGCUACUUGAUAUUGGUGUAACUAGGGUUGUCGAUCGGUUCGGGUUCGGUUAUCCGUACCCGAAUUUUCGGUUACCCGAACCCGAAAUUGUCAUAUUUCACUAACCGUUUUCGAACCGUUUUAGGUAUUCGGUUACCCAAUAACCGCUUCGGUUACCCGAUUCGGUUAUUUGUGUAUCCGAAAUACCCAUUUAAAAAAUUUAAAUUUAAAUAAUUUGCUAGAUAGAGGAUUUGAACCUUAGUCUCUAAAAAAUACACAAAGCAACUUAUCCAUUAGACUAAAGCUCAUUUUUAUACCUUAAAUAUAUCAUAAUUUUAUUUUAGCUAAAAAUCGAUUUAAAAAAAUAAAUUAAUUAAUUAAUGAAUUAAUAAUUAAAAAAUAUAUAUAAUAUAAUAUUAAAUAAUUUUUGGUUAUUUUGGUUGGGUUAACCGAUACUCGAAAUUUUUCUAAAAAUGAUACCCGAAACCGAACCGAUAAUCAAAAAAUUCGAUUAUUGGAUACCCAAACCCGAGAAAUUCUGUUCUGUUAACGGAUUAUCCAAAACCCGAUAACCAAUUAGACAGCCCUAGGUGUAACAAUGAUGUUAUUCAAAUUGCGCCCACCCUAAUAAAUUAUGAAGGACUUGCAUCGGUGGACCGGUGGUUCAUUUCAACCAAUACAAGCUUGAUGGCGAACUAUAUUAUGUAUUAAUUUCACCACAAAUUGCUUACUUUUUCAACAUCUCCCCUACUCAACUUUCACAUCACAACUUAACCAUCAAAUUGAGUAAAACUAGAAAGUCAACCGUUUUCCUUAGAUAGUACUCCAUCCGUCCCAAUUUUUAGUAUCCAAAUUUCUUUUUUGAUCCUCCCAUAUUUUGGUAUUUAUUUUAAUUUUUCAUAAAAGUAGGUGGGGUCCUUACUCCACUAUAAUUAUUUUAACUCUCACAUAAAAAGUUAGACCCUUAUUCCACUUACAACACACCAAUCACUUUAUUAAAAUACGUGCCGUUCUCAAUUGGAUACCAAAAGUCGGGACGGAGGGAGUAUGAAAUAUUAAAUUUGAAUUACACGUUGUCAACAUUUGACGCACUAAGAACGUGAUACCGUGACAGAGGGCUUCCAAGACAUUACGAGACAAAAUACAUGCAUAGGUAAAAUAGAAAUAAAAAUUUUGAAUAUAAAAAAAGUUAUUAUUAUUAUUAUUAUUAUUAUUUUUAAUCUGAAAUUUUUUAAUGCACAUGAUUGAACAUAAAAAUACAUGUUUAUAAACAUAAAUUUGCAUAACUUUGCACACAAAAAUGCAUUGCAUAUUUUGUGGCAACAACAUGCAUAUUUUUGUGUGCAAAGUUAUGCACGAUCUCUAUUUAAUUAUAUAUAUAUAUAUAUAUAUAUAUAUAUAUUUUAAUAGUUGAAAAUAAUUUUUUUAUCUUUGAGGGGGUUGAAAAGUAGUCUUGGUAGCAUUAAAUUCUAUCUGUGCCAUGCAUAUACAACAAAUUUAUAGUGUCCAAAUCAUACAGCUUUGCAAAUAUUGUCCAAAAUUUAUUCUGGUCCAUCCAAAGCUCCAUUGUAUAUCACGAACUCUUGAGCAAUAUAUAUAACCUUUAUUACAACAUAAAUAAUCAAAUUAAUCAUCAUCUCAUAUUGAGACGCGUUAAAUUGUUUUUUCCUAAAUCCAUACAUGAUAAAUACCAAAAAUAUUUAUAAAUACGAGCUUAAUUAGAUCUGAUCUUGGCCAAAAAAAUUAUAUAUAUAUAUUUCUUUAACGUGAGAUUUGCUCACCUGCAAAUUAUAAGUCAUGUACCACGAAUUCGAUUUAUGGUUAAACAAAACCUAGUCACUCUAGGAAAUUGUUUACCUGAAAAUAUAUAUAUCCCAAUAUUAUUUUUACCUCAAUUUUUAUGGUUGACUUGCUGAAUUAGUCAAAGUAUAAGCAAACAAUUCGUGUAUUUGACAAAGAGUUGAACACUUGAAGUAGCUAGCUAGUGACUUAGUAAGAACAAGCCAAACAAUAAAUUAAUUUGAGAAAAAGGAGAUUAUCAUGUUAGAUUGUCUCAUCAUAAACGAUCAAUAAUUUGGAUUGCAAACUCCUAUUUCACUAACAAUACUAUUAUAGAUAUUCUGAUACAAUUGAAUAUAAAUUUAUAUCUAUAUCUUGACACGUGUCAUGAUGGAAAAAUCUUACACAAUAAUUUGUAUUUGAAAAGAUGAAAUUUGGCAGACGCCAAUUCAAUUACAAUAUGCUAAAAUUCUUGGGUUUUAUAUACAAUCGAAUUCCCUAAUUGAUCACACCGACAAAUUCUAAACCAAACUUCAAAUUCAACUCUAGCUAAAUUCUAGGUUUUCUCCAACUGAAUAACUCUUAAAAAAAGUUUAAAUACAAUCAUAAUAUACGAAAAGUUUAACCAACACAAAAUCUUAUGUAGCAAUGCUUUUCUCUAUAGCACUUGAAUCCAGAUAACGAUAAAUGACUCGCCUAACAGAUCUUAACUUAUCGAGCCGUAUUACACGAGACUUGCUUUUAAUCAACAGAAAAAAUUUAUGUAAGAUAAUCUGACGAGUCAAGAUCUAUCACUCAUAUAGUUAAUAAUUUUAAAAUAUUUUAUCGUGCUCGAAAUCCGUAUUACACGAUACUUGCUCUUUAAUCAACACAAAAACUUAUGUAAGAUAGUUUGACGAGUCAAGAUCUAUCACUCAUAUAUUCAAUAAUUUUAAAAACUUGUCGGGCCAUAUUACACGAAACUGCCCUAUUACGUGAGACUUGCUUUUAAUCAACACAAAACCUCACGCAAGACAGUCUAACGAGCUAAGAUCUAUCACUCACAUAUCCAAUUAUAUAUAUUUAUAAUUCAAAAUUACUUUAUAGUGCUUCAAAAUUCAGAUAAUGACUCGUCUAACAAAUCUUAACUAGUUCGAACCGUUUAACACAUAAAGAUGUCACUUUCUUGCAUUAGUGAUAGGCUAUAACUAGUCACGCUAGGGGGAGACGUGGUCUUGAGCAAGUCAAUGGACACGCCAUAGGAAAAGAUCCACAACACGAAAAGACCAAAAUACCCAUCCCUAGCCUCGUAUAAUCCUCGUCAUUCACAAGGGCAAUUUAGUGAAAUCAAACCUAAUAUUUUUCAAACGUUAGAAGCUUUAUAAAUUGGUCUGUUAGAAGACAAAGGAAAACGGCUUUCAUUGUAAUCUUGACAACUGCCACACAUUCACCAGGGCUAAUAUAAAACACACACAACACACACUCAUAUAUCCCUCUGUCUUUUUCCAAUUUUAUUAUUCCCUUGUCUUUAAAAUUAAAUUUCUUUUGGGGAAAUUCGGAAAGUGGCUUUAUUUAUUUAUUUUGUUAUUUGAUAUAUAAAAAUAAUUCGAGGGGUCUGGAAAUUACGUUAGGGUCAUAUUGUUGCAUUCCCUUUCUGCGGCCGGGGGCGUCAAGUUUCCAACUUUGAGGGAGAUCUCAUUUGGGUUUUGUUUGGUUUGAUUUGGGUCUGCAUUUCUUGAUCUCGAGAUAAAGAGGGUGAUUGUUUGGUGAUUUUAGAGAGAGAAAGGGGAGAGAGAGAGAGAUGAGCGGUGUAUCAAGAAUUUGGGAGAAGGUGAAUAUGAUGGCGGAAGGAGGAUCUCGGAAUUGUUCCAAGAAAUCUGAUGAUAUAUGUGGCGAUGCCUGUGGUGAGGUAAAAAAAAAUCAUCUUUUUUUAGGGGGUUGCGUUUUUUGCUAAUGUAUGGCAUAAAAAGAGUGUGGGUUUUUUCCUCGCCUUUUUUCUUUUUAAAAUUCUUGAAUGUCUUGUUUCGGUUUUCGUUUGGGUGGGGAUUGUGGUUUGCUUUUUAGAUUCUGUAAAAAAAAAAUUAUUUUUUUAUUUUAUUGAUGAAACAUCAAUGGAUAAAUUUUUGAUUUUGGACUAUUGGGAUGAGGGAACAUUUGAAAUUUCGUUUUGUUUAGAGCAAUUUUGAGCUGUAGUUUUGUGUGUGUGUGUGUUUUAUUGAGGGAUUAGAUCAAAUUCCCCCAUUUAUGUAAUUAUUAUUUCUGGGAAUAUAUCAGCGUGAAGAAAUUUUAAGAUCCUGUGAUUUUUCGUUUGAAUUAUUUUGUGAAUGUUGCUUUUUUCUGGUUUAUCUACCGUUAUACCUCAUUUGAUUGGAGUGGGAUCUGAAAGAAUGUCCUGUUCUCAAUAAUAUUAUUUGGCACUUGCUUGAAUUUUCAAUUUUAUUGCUCUUAUCUUAUGCCUUGCAGGAAUUAUUCUGUGAUUUGUUGUAUGGUUUUCAUUAAUCUAUUGAAAGUCAUUAAAAAUGUUGUAGGGAAAGUAAGAUUCUUGCUUUAUUUGCAAUCUGUGAGGUCCAUAUUUGAAUAGCAUCACAAUGGAGAGAAUCUAGCUGUGGAAGUUGUGUAUAUGUUGGUUCGAGUUCGUGUUGAAUCGUAUGUAUGAUUGUUGCAGUUUUUCUAAUAAAUUUGGUGUUUGUGAAAAUUGCAGGAUUCAGGAAGGGCUUUGAGCAUGGCCAGAUUGAGAUGUAUUCUGCGGGGGCUGGAUUUCAAAGCAUUGCUCUUUCUCUUUGUGUUGAUCCCGACGUGUGUCUUUGUUAUAUAUGUCCACGGCCAAAAGAUCACGUACUUUCUGAGACCGUUAUGGGAGUCCCCGCCCAAGCCUUUCCACGAGAGACCUCACUACUAUCACGAGAAUGUGUCAAUGGAGAAUCUGUGUAAGCUUCAUGGUUGGGGGAUACGUGAGUACCCUAGACGUGUCUAUGAUGCAGUGCUGUUCAGCAACGAGGUGGACAUCCUCAAGAUGCGUUGGAAGGAGUUGUAUCCGUAUGUGACAGAGUUUGUCCUCCUUGAGUCGAAUUCCACCUUCACCGGGCUGCCAAAGCCCAACCUCUUCUCAACUGUCCGCGAUCAGUUCAAAUUUGUUGAGCCCCGUUUGACCUAUGGGCAGGUCCCGGGGAGAUUCAAGACGGGAGAGAACCCUUUUGUUGAGGAGGCGUAUCAGAGAUACACGUUGGAUUAUCUUCUCAAGCAAGCCGGCAUUCAGGAUGAUGACCUUUUGAUAAUGUCGGAUGUUGAUGAGAUCCCAAGUAGGCACACGAUCAAUCUCUUGAGGUGGUGCGAUGACAUACCCCCGAUCCUUCAUCUUCGUCUCAAGAACUAUCUGUACUCGUUCGAGUUUUUCCUUGACAACAACAGCUGGAGAGCCUCUGUCCAUGUAUACCAAUCUGGCAAGACGAGAUAUGCUCACUACCGACAGUCUGAUGAGAUCUUGGCUGAUGCAGGGUGGCAUUGUAGCUUCUGCUUCAAACGCAUCAGCGAAUUCAUAUUCAAGAUGAAGGCUUACAGCCACGUGGAUCGGGUGAGAUUCUCUCAUUUUCUGAGCCCUAAGAGGAUCCAGAAAGUGAUCUGCAAAGGUGCUGAUUUGUUUGACAUGCUGCCCGAGGAGUAUACGUUCAAGGAGAUAAUCGGGAAGAUGGGGCCGAUCCCACAUUCCUAUUCGGCCGUUCAUCUCCCUGCAUAUCUCUUGGAGGCAGCUGAUCAAUACAAAUUCCUCUUACCUGGGAAUUGCAUAAGGGAAAGAGAGAGUGGCUGAGCUACACGAACGAGGUCGUGUAUCUUCUUGUACAGGUGGAGGAAGCAAGCUUCAGCUCGACUCCCGGGUAAGGGUGACCUUUAACCAAAUUCAUGGCUGCAGUGUGUGUUGUUUUUAUAACCAUGCUACAUACAUGUUCAGCCUACUUAUAUCAUUCUUGCCUUCGAGCUUUUGAGAAAACAAAGAAAAAAAAUGACAGACAUAUCUCGGACUUUACUAGAUUGAGGUUUGUAUAUAAUCGUUCGUAGACUUGAUUUUCAUGCAACCGGAUAGUGCACUGAGCGAGAGAAACGAAAAGAAAAGAAAACGGGCUCUGCUAGGAACUACUUGUUGUAACUAGGGCGUUUCCAUAAUACAUAAACGCGCUAUGACUGUGCAUUACGCCCCCUUGAAGGCGGGGGGUUGGUUCAUCGUUGUUGCUGGCCGUUUUUCUGUCUCUAGGAAAAUUUUUGGUGUGAGCAGUGAGCUAAUAUAUUCAUCUGCAGAUUGUGAAACAUGCUGUAGUGCUUUCUUGAUUUUGGAUCUUCUCUCAAACUGUUUUUUUAUUUUUUCAAUGGAGAUAUGAUGUGAUGAUUCAGCUCUUUCUUGAGAUUUUCUUGCUAUUCUUUCCUCAAUUUUUACAGCUAAGUUUUGUCUGAAAACAGAGGAUUCUUGGCUUUGUGAAGCAUUGUUUGUUGAUGGAUAGCUGGUUUCUUGUUUGUUGAUGAACUAAGAAAUUAUGUGUGGGAAGAAAAAGAAUUAAAGAAAAAAGUCAAAUGAAAUAAAGAAUCUGAUACCCUCAAUAAUUUAUGAUGGUUUUUUGUCAUUGUUCAAGGUUGGCAUGUCCGAAUAUUUUUUCUAUUUCAAGAAAAUAUAAUCAUUAAUUGCCACUGAUGUGCAGCUCAUUACAUUUGCUUUAUUCAACACUUGCAAGUUACUACUAUAAUUUAAAUUAAAACCUUAUUAUACUUCAAAAUCUUUGUGAUCAUAUUAUAAUUGGCUACAUCAAUAAGGGCUUGUUCAUCAAGAUUGGCACUCAACCUUCAAAUACAUGAACUUCUAUUAUUUCUAUUUUUCACAUGGUUCUCAAUUAUCCUCAAAUUAAUAGCGAUAUGGACGCCUAGAAUGUUUACAUGACUUAAACGAUAGAUGACAAAACGAUAUAGUUGGAUGUCUAUGCAAUUUUAAUUGGUCACGUUGAUAUUAAUUUGUUAUGUCAACUUGCCACUAUGGUAUUAACUGUGAAAAAUUUCAAAUGAUUGGAACUUCAUGUAUUUAGGCGCAAUUAUUCUUUGAAAAUCAGACAGUUAGAAUCACAACUGUUGAUUAGAAGUGAUGCAAGAUUCUUUCCCAAGUGGGAUCAAAAGCUGUAAGAAAUUCCUCAGAGAAAUUACCAAAAAGGAAUUGAAUUCCACAAAAUAUAAAACAAUAUUACCCCAUAAUGGGAAUUGAAUCAGAUGCAUCCCCAUCUCAAAAACAAAAAAAAAACUAUAAGUAGCAGACACUAACACCAAUCAAUCUAUCAAGAGAGAGAGAGAGAGAGAGUCAAGAAAAUGCAGAUGUACAAGGAAGUAGUGGAGGAAUAUGAAUACAGCUACAGCAACAAUGGCUCAGACAUGCACAUGAUGAAGCCUGCUGCUGCACAGCACAGCUACAAUCAGAGCCAUGGCCAUGCGCCCGAGACGAGGUACGAGGAUGGCUGGGGCGGCGCCAAGAAUAAUGACCAUUAUGCCCUCGGUGGCAAGGUGCAUCACGGCGGCAAUGAGGGGAUGAAGCACGGUGGAUAGGGGCUGAUCAGGGGCAUUUUGGUCAUUACAAGGAGGGGAUGGGGAUGAAGCACGGCGGAUAUGGGGGCGAUCAGGGGCAUUUUGGUCAUUAUAAGGAGGUGAUGGGAUGAAGAA